AGUGAACGCUGGCGGUGGGCCUAACACAUGCAAGUCGAACGGCAGCACAGUAAGAGCUUGCUCUUACGGGUGGCGAGUGGCGGACGGGUGAGGAAUACAUCGCAAUCUACUUUUUCGUGGGUGAUAACGUAGGGAAACUUACGCUAAUACCGCAUACGACCUCCGGGUGAAAGCAGGGGAUCUUCGGACCUUGCGCGAUUGAAUGAGCCGAUGUCGGAUUAGCUAGUUGGCGGGGUAAAGGCCCACCAAGGCGACGAUCCGUAGCUGGUCUGAGAGGAUGAUCAGCCACACUGGAACUGAGACACGGUCCAGACUCCUACGGGAGGCAGCAGUGGGGAAUAUUGGACAAUGGGCGCAAGCCUGAUCCAGCCAUACCGCGUGGGUGAAGAAGGCCUUCGGGUUGUAAAGCCCUUUUGUUGGGAAAGAAAAGCAGCAGGUUAAUACCCCGCUGUUCUGACGGUACCCAAAGAAUAAGCACCGGCUAACUUCGUG
rnacentral:rRNA from 1 species